CCACGGCGAGCACCUGCAACGCCGCGACGAAGCCGUCGCCGGUGGUUGCGAAGUCGGACAUGAUGAUGUGACCCGACGGCUCGCCGCCGAGAUUGUAGCCGCCCUUCUGCAUCUGCUCGAGCACAUAGCGAUCGCCGACCGGCGUGCGCAGCAGCUCGAUGCCCUGCUCUUUCAGAUAACGUUCCAGGCCGAGAUUGGACAUCACGGUGGCGACGAUACCGGGCUUCGCCAGCCGUCCAUCGUCCUUCCAGCUCUGCGCGAUCACGGCGAGAAGCUGGUC
rnacentral:misc_RNA from 1 species